rnacentral:rRNA from 1 species
GGUUGCGAUCAUACCAGCACUAAUGCACCGGAUCCCAUCAGAACUCCUCAGUUAAGCGUGCUUGGGCGAGAGUAGUACUAGGAUGGGUGACCCCUUGGGAAGUCCUCGUGUUGCAACCC